GUAGUGAGUGAGUGACAGCCUUUGUCACCUGUGCUCUUCGAACCGGUUCCGUCGACUCGCUCACUCCGCCUUCCAGGUGCUCUCUCGCCCUCGGCCUCCCCACAAUUUGAAGGGGGGCUUGUUAGGCGGCGAUAUGACUUUAUUAUGCGCGCGCUGGAGCUGUCAUGCGGUUGACAACUGUGUCUCUGCGCCUGCGCCGCUCUCUCGCUCUCUUCGGCGUGGGGCGGUGCCCAAAACCAUGGCUAUAUCCGCCCCACUCGCUCUCAUGGCGUCUAAGCCAGGAAAAUGGCUGCCUGCCGGUGAAGGGGAACUUCCUGUUGCCUGAUAUAGCCGUCUCUUCUGUCGCUGCUCAUAAGUAUUUAGUUUUUGUUGAUUUUGUUUUUGGCCGCGACGUUUCAAUCUGCACUUCCACCCGGCCUACAACUUUAUCGACACCAGGGUCCGUGGAAAGACGACCGGGCCAAGGGAUGGGACACGAGGGGGAGGAGAUGAUCAGCCGGCCGAAUAACCGCAAAUAACCGCAAAUGGAAGCCCACCAGUCAGUGGAGAAACCCUCUGAAAAGUUUUAGAACUGCCACCACCCACCCCCACCAUGAUGGAAAUGAUUUUGUUAUUUUUCACAAAAACACGCUAAAAACGAUGACAAUUAUUUUUUCACCCAAGUUGUAUCGCCAAUUAAACGGUUAAAUGUGGCAUGGUUAAAUCCAGCCAGCCGAGCGUAAGCCACCGAAAAGCCUCUCGAUCUCCACCGGAAUGCCACCAUCGCAUAAAAAACCAACGCUAACUGUCAAAAUAAACUUGGGAAGGUGUUAAAAAUGAAUGCCAUUUGGCAUUGGACACCAACAAUAGAGCUUUUGGGGCCCUAAUCACACGCUGGAUCUACAAAUGUGAAACAUGUGCUGCAAACAACACCCGAGAUGAGUUUGGGAAUUGGGAAUUCGAACAUAUAGCCACUGAUAUAUGGCACAUAAAUCACCGAAUCUGUUCGAGAUGAAUAAAAUAAAAAUCAAAUAGCAUAGUCGCUAAUGAAUUGCCUUUGGCUUAUGGCCACGAUUUCGAUUUUGAUACUAUUGUUCGUUGUUUUGUUUAUUUUUGAAUAAUAAAGGCUGUGUGGGCUUUGGCUUCUGA